AUACGUAGGUGGCAAGCGUUGUCCGGAAUUAUUGGGCGUAAAGCGCGCGCAGGUGGUUCCUUAAGUCUGAUGUGAAAGCCCCCGGCUCAACCGGGGAGGGUCAUUGGAAACUGGGGAACUUGAGUGCAGAAGCGGAUAGUGGAAUUCCAAGUGUAGCGGUGAAAUGCGUAGAGAUUUGGAGGAACACCAGUGGCGAAGGCGACUGUCGGGUCGGUAACGGACACUGAGGCGCGAAAGCGUGGGGAGCAAACAGGAUUAGUUGCCCUGGUAGUCCACGCCGUAAACGAUGAGUGCUAAGUGUUGGGGGGUUUCCGCCCCUCAGUGCUGCAGCUAACGCAUUAAGCACUCCGCCUGGGGAGUACGGUCGCAAGACUGAAACUCAAAGGAAUUGACGGGG
rnacentral:rRNA from 1 species